rnacentral:rRNA from 1 species
GUCGAGAGGCUUCGGCAAUGGGGGAAACCCUGACCGAGCGACGCCGCGUGGGCGAUGAAGGCCGUUAGGUUGUAAAGCCCUGUCGUGUGGGACGAAUUCAGGAGGGUGAACAAUCCUUCUGUUUGACGGUACCGCAAAAGGAAGCUCCGGCUAACUCCGUGCCAGCAGCCGCGGUAAUACGGGGGGAGCGAACGUUGUUCGGAAUCACUGGGCGUAAAGGGCGUGCAGGCGGCUCGGUAAGUGGAAGGUGAAAUGCCCUGGCUCAACCAGGGAACUGCCUUCCAGACUGCCGAGCUUGAGUGCGGGAGAGGAUGGGAGAAUUCCCGGUGUAGCGGUGGAAUGCAUUGAUAUCGGGAGGAAUACCAGUGGCGAAGGCGCCCAUCUGGCCCGACACUGACGCUCAGGCGCGAAAGCUAGGGGAGCAAACAGGAUUAGAAACCCCGGUAGUCC